UCAAUUCAGAAUAAAAAGUCCAGUUUUGCCCUAAUAAGGAUUAUUAUACCAAUUCAAACUACUAGUACAGUCAACAAAAUCGUACCUUUUCCGCACAUGUCCUUUAAGGAGGUUCUGAUUCCUUAUCCCUUCAAGAUGAUAACCUCUGAAUCACUUAGGUCCCUGUAGACAAAAAGACGAUCAUCAACACACAUCUCAGCUUGGGUUUUUACCUUUUUUUUUUUUUUUAAGUCACAUCUAUCCAAGCCCAGGCACGUUGAGGGACAUGCAGUCCUCUCCCGAGGCACAGCCCCGAAGCGAUCAAUAAGGCCAUUUCCAGAUAAUCACCCCUCCUGUCUUCCUGGACAGUGUUAACACUUGCACAGCCUGUAAUAAACCAUAUGGAUCAAUACGACAUCAGUUCUACAUGGAACUUUUCCACCUCAGCUAAUGCAGUGAAAUGUGAACUGGAUUUUGGUACAAUCUGACCUUCUUUCUGCUCCAGUUAUCAGAAUCCUACUAAACCUGUCAAGAUCACCAAGUGAAACAGACAGCUCUUGUUACAUAAUCAUACACGCGUCUCACUAGCUGACUGACAGCACAUCUCCACUGGGGCAUUUUGAAAUGACAUGAGUUAGUUUAUACCGAAAAGGAACAAGAUGACCCGAGGGAGUCCAAAAAGACUGAAAUGGGGGAAAAGUAAUAAAAGAUCAAAACGUCAACUGUCAGCUGGCGGCCAUCUUGGUGAUUAUCGACAUUGGGGAACCGCGUACAAAGCCUUUUCCUCUAAUAAAUCACUCACAGAAAGUGUCGCUGCAAAUGUUGCCAGGUUUCAUUGCAGUUUAAUCAGCUCAAUGAAUGUUUUAAUAGGCUGAUAUUUCAGACAGCGAAUGGCACUGCAGUGAUUAAUGGCGAGGGGUGAACUCUUUCCCUCCCUCCAACGCUGCUUCUCUGCCAAGGAUCACUAAAGAAAUAUCUUAUCUCUCUACUCUUGUAUUGACAUCACACAUUUAUUUGAAAGUUAACAAGCUCAUCUGCAAACCAAUCUUGUUGUAAUUGGCUAAUAGGUGACGCGAUGUUUUCUGUCUGAUAAGGCUGCACGUUUUCCUAAAUAUAUUAUCUGCAUGUUUUUCCCUUCUGCGGGUCUUUUAUGAAUUCAUCAGGAGGCCUCAUCUCACUCCCUGGCCUCCUAUACCAUUUAAUAUGUCUUUACCCCUCCUCCUCCUCUCUCGGAGGAUUGCACUGUUUCUCAAUUUGUCA